rnacentral:rRNA from 1 species
GACGAACGCUGGCGGCGUGCCUAAUACAUGCAAGUCGAACGCUUCUUUCCUCCCGAGUGCUUGCACUCAAUUGGAAAGAGGAGUGGCGGACGGGUGAGUAACACGUGGGUAACCUACCCAUCAGAGGGGGAUAACACUUGGAAACAGGUGCUAAUACCGCAUAACAGUUUAUGCCGCAUGGCAUAAGAGUGAAAGGCGCUUUCGGGUGUCGCUGAUGGAUGGACCCGCGGUGCAUUAGCUAGUUGGUGAGGUAACGGCUCACCAAGGCCACGAUGCAUAGCCGACCUGAGAGGGUGAUCGGCCACACUGGGACUGAGACACGGCCCAGACUCCUACGGGAGGCAGCAGUAGGGAAUCUUCGGCAAUGGACGAAAGUCUGACCGAGCACCGCCGCGUGAGUGAAGAAGGUUUUCGGAUCGUAAAACUCUGUUGUUAGAGAAGAACAAGGACGUUAGUAACUGAACGUCCCCUGACGGUAUCUAACCAGAAAGCCACGGCUAACUACGUG